rnacentral:rRNA from 1 species
CGCAUCUGUGCAUGCAGCAUAUCAAUAAGCGGAGGAAAAGAAACUAACAAGGAUUCCCCUAGUAACGGCGAGUGAAGCGGGAAGAGCUCAAAUUUGAAAUCUUAAAGGGUUUCCCUUUACGAGUUGUAGUUUAAAGAAGUGUUUUCUGUUGAGGUUUUGGUAAAAGUUCUUUGGAAUAGGACAUCAUAGAGGGUGAGAAUCCCGUAUUUGACCUUUACUUUCAACUUUGUGAUACACUUUCAAAGAGUCGGAUUGUUUGGGAAUGCAGUCCAAAAUGGGUGGUAAAUUUCAUCUAAAGCUAAAUAUUGGCGAGAGACCGAUAGCGAACAAGUACCGUGAGGGAAAGAUGAAAAGAACUUUGAAAAGAGAGUUAAACAGUACGCUGAAAUUGUCAAAAGGGAAGCGUUUGACACCAGUGUUGUUUUUCUGAAAAUCAAUUAAAGAACUGUUUAUGCUAAGUUGUUUAGACUUUAUCAGCUAACUGUUUAGUUUUGAGCUUUUCUUUAAUGCACUUUUCAGUUAACAAGUCAACAUCAAUUUCUUUUGCUGUAAAAAAGCUUGAGGAAGGUGGCUUGAGAUUCGUCUUAAGUGUUUAUAGCCUCUUGCCUAUGCAGUCGGAGAGAUUGAGGUCUGCAGCGUAGAUCCUUCGGGGCUAAAUGCAUUUGUGCUAAGUUAUAACAUUUCAUAGACAACUUGUUGACUAUGAUUUGUCUUGUAGCUUACUCGCUUAUGUUAUUUUACCUACGCUUAGGAUGUUGACAGCAGUAUAGACUG